rnacentral:rRNA from 1 species
CACCACAGAAGGUAAUAGUCCUGUAUGUUAAACGAGAAGUCUUUAGAUAUGAUCCAGAGUACCACGGGACACGUGAAACCCUGUGGGAAGCAGGAGGGACCACCCUCCAAGGCUAAAUACUACCUAGGGACCGAUAGCGUAUAGUACCGUGAGGGAAAGGUGAAAAGAACCCCGGGAGGGGAGUGAAAUAGAACCUGAAACCCUGCACUUACAAGCUGUGGAAGCACAUUUCUUGUGUGACCGCGUACUUUUUGUAGAACGGGCCAACGAGUUACGUUAAGUAGCAAG